CCUCUUCCCCCCCCCAUUGAAAAUUCGUGGAUACACCACUGUAUACCUAGGUACCUAUUAUAUCAUUUCAUGUGAUGAAAACAAAAAUCUAGAUAGGUAGUUAUAGAACACAACAUUUAUAAUAGGCACCUAAUAAAAGAGUUUAAUAUUCUAAAAGUUGUAGAGCGACCAGAUGGUCAAAAACUAAUACUAUUCAUGGCGCAAGAAACUGCUGAUAGAAUUGGAAACAUUUUUGCUGUGUCAAAUUAACUACUCAACGAAAAAGUAAAUAGGGAUACAUAAACUUUUUUUUGUGUCAGUACUUUCGGACAAUUUUUGUUCGAUAUCUCAUAUCGAUGAAUUUACCCAGUUUUCUAAAAACUAACAUUAAACACUCAUAUUUAAAUGCUAUGAUAAUUUAUACUUAGAUACAACUUACGCACUUACAUUCGUACCACACUUAAAUCCCUUAUAUUUAGCAUCUUAAAAAGUGGCAGUGUGAAGAUAGUUAUGUGAGUGAAAAAUCUUAGGUUUUUUAAAUAGAUAUUAACCCGCGAGAAGCAUAGGCACAAUUAGAGAGUCUUAAAUCCUCCCCCUCCCCCCAAAAAAAACCUAAUCAGCUUUUUCGUAGUAACGACUAAAUAUUUUAUUCGUGUUUUUCAUAAUUAGUGAGUAACACAAAAUAAAGUUUUCCUACACUGCAUGUGUGUACAAAAAAUAAUGUUAAAAGAGUUAUGAUAAAUUUGUAUAUACACAAUUAUAAAUGAAAAAUGUAGUUGACCAGCAAAAGUCGUGUAAAAGGAAUUUCGAGAUCAUAGCCCCUAUGGGUCUAUGAUGUGUCCAUAAAUAUAGCACCCCCAAAGUUGGUGGUCUAGUUGCGCCAAUUGCGUGGAUAAUUUAAUGUGGCAUACCAAUGGUUCACCGCCGCAUCGCUUCACGGCGCUCAGUGUUUCCACGACCUCGUCAAAGACAUUCCGUGCAACAAAGAGAAGCAUGAGAAGACCAGAUAUGACGAAGAUAAGGUCAACCGGCUCGGAUCUCUUCCUGCGGAUUGAUUGGCUUAGGUACGAGAAACGAGACUAUAUAUAAUAUGUUUGUUUCGAAAUAUCGU